ensembl:lncRNA
AUACUGAAUCCCGCAGCCACGAUCCAGCAUGAGGCAGCGUUAACUUCCUCCAGCCCUACCCUCGCUCGCGAUCUCCGAUCGCUGUCUCGGCUCUUCUUUGCCUCGCCGCCAGUGCGCCACCAGCUCCCUGCCUCAACAGCGCCCCCGCCUCUCUGUCAGUUUGGCUUGACCUUGCUUUGGUGGAUUUUCCCUAUUGGAAUUCGUCCAGGAGGCACUUUUGGAUCCACUCCGGGCUGCCCUGUACCUGGAUUGUUUUUUGUUGUCUAUUUUUUCCCUUUUUGAAUUUCAAGACUAUUAACUAAACUGACUUUUGGGCACCUGCAAACUGAGUCCAAGUCUCGUACUGACAAUUGCUGCAUGGUCACCCUGUGGAAUUUACUGAGACACAAUGUAAUGAAAGUCAUGAUGUAAUGAAAUGUAAUGAAAGUCAUGAUGAUGACAUUGCUCAUAUUCCUUUUAAGCUAAAUUAUUAUGGCUUUCUGUACUGCUGCUUGGUAAAUGAUAGAGUCUAGCUCAACAAAAUUAAAAUUAUUAAUUUCAUGUGCAGACUGAGAAUGUUUGACAAGUUUGACAAUGACACAUUGUUCCUUUACCUACUACAGUGACAAGAUGUUUUUCCUAGAAUUACUUUAUGAAUCCUCUUGGACUUUACUUUUUUUCAUGAAUACUGUGGCUGCUUAUUUAAACAGUCUAUAACAGAUGUAUAAAUGCAUAACAAACUUUGCUAAACAUUAAUGCUAAGGUUUUCAUAGAUUUAAAAAU